rnacentral:rRNA from 1 species
GAUGAACGCUAGCGGCAGGCUUAAUACAUGCAAGUCGAGGGGCAGCGUGUUCCGUAGCAAUACGGGAUGAUGGCGACCGGCAAACGGGUGCGGAACACGUACGCAACCUACCCAAAACUGAUGAAUAGCCCUCCGAAAGGAGGAUUAAUACAUCGUAACUUAAUGAAGUGGCAUCACUUUAUUAAUAUAGCUCCGGCGGUUUUGGAUGGGCGUGCGCCUGAUUAGGUAGUUGGCGGGU